AUACUUACCUGGAUGGGGUCAAUGGGUGAUCAUGUAGGCCCAUGGCCUAGGCAAGUGACCUCCAUUGCACUUUGGAGGGGUGCUAGCCUAAGGUCUACCCAAGUGGUGGAGCCUGCAUCAUAAUUUGUUGUUGUGGGGGCCUGCGUUCGCGCGGCCCCUCC
rnacentral:snRNA from 1 species